UGAAUUGUUUGUAGGUCAAAUUUGCAAAAAGAAAAAUAAAGUGGAAGUAUGACUGCACUACCACCAACAACAAUCAUGGGCCAAAACUAAAAAAAAACCACGCAGCAACAACAAUUGAAAAAAAAAAAGAAAAAAAAAACCUAAGACUAAAAAGAAGAAUGAGGCAGCAUUGAGGACGUGAACCAAAGGAAACACACAGCAUUGAACGAGAGUAGAACAGUAGCGGCAAGAGGACGGAGCAUAAGGCGGAAGAGCAGCAACAUAAUUGGAGGCGACGAUAACCUAACGCAGUAUUAGAGGAUACGCGGACCAAGAAGGACGAAGAACAGAGCCAUAUUAGGCGAAAUUCAUCCAUCUUGAGUUUCUCUGUUUCCCUGAUUUAUUUCAAUCACUAUGUUUAAUUUCAGAUUUUUAUUAUACAAUUGGGUUAAUUUAUUAGUUUAUAUGUCUUGCUAUAUUUGAUGUUUCUAUGUUCUAGGACUAGAUGUAGUAUUUUAUUUUUCUAUCAAUGAGUUGAACUAAGUUGUUUGGAUUGAUUUAUUUUUAUUGCAAUUUGAUAAUCUUGGUUUGUUUUCAUAUAAUUGAUUUGGCCAGUUGAUUAUAUGUUUAAGGUAUUGGAUUAUUAGCGGAAGUGAAAUUUCAAUAUUAGUUCGUAGGAUUAUUAAACUUCAAGUAGUAUAAUUUUAGGAAUAGUUAUGCACUUGGGGUGGUCGUUUACAUGAAUUUCUUGUUUAUAAUGGGUUUAUAUUAAUUGUUAUGACCAAGGAAGUAGGCGUAAGAUUAGUAUAAAUACACAUUUUCUACCUUGGAAGAGGAGAUAAUAUAUCAAAGGAAGUUCGAUCACUGCAAUACAAUAGCUUUUAAUUCGACAACUAGUUUAAUUUCAUUGUAGAAGGUAAUUGACGAAAUCUAAGUGCUAUAACCAUUUCUUAUACUUGAUUUACACCUAUUGUCUAACGUCGUUAGAGUUAGAAUUAGUAUAGUUGUUAUUUUAUUAGUCUAGUUUAUCACCACCAAUCACUAUUUCCGGAUCAUCUAGAUAAUAUUAGUGUCUCUUAAUUUGGUAGUUGAUUAUACCUUCUUGUGGGAAACGAUAUCUUGCUUACCCUAUAUUUACUUUAGUUGACCCGUGCACUUGCUGUAUUUUAGGUAUAUUUAGGACCGACCAGUGCGUGGUCGCUGACCCGAAACAGAGGAGGGAGAGUGUGGUGGGUUGCGAAAAACAGAGGUUUUGGGGGGUGUUUUUGGUAGCGUUUCUCCGGCAAGGAUGGUUGGAUUCCGACGAAGAUAGGGUGAUGGUGCUGAAUUGAGGAAGGCAAUAAUAGAUAUUUAUAAGCAUAGUUGGGGGGUUAAAUUUUAUGAAUUGGGUGGGUUUGAUUUGAUGAAGAAAACUGAAAUUUGGGUGGGUUUGAUUUGGAUUGAGAUUUUUAAUUGAAGAAUAGAUUGUUUGUGUAUAAAAAUUCAUGAGUUGAAUUAAAACUCCAUUGUUGGGUUGUUUGUGAAGAGAAAAUGGAGAUGGGUUGAAACAUAAAUCUAAUUUUGAGUUUUCCUUUUUCUUUUAUUUUCUUUUAUUUUCUCUUUUUCUUUUUUUUUUUAUUCUUAAUACUAACAAAUUUGUUCCACAUUGAAUUAGGAGUACUUGUAAAGUUUUACUAGUUAAUUUGUUUAUUAUUAUUUUAACUAAUGUAAUUAUCUAAUCUAACAUACCUUGUUAUUAUUUACCAACAUAUAUUUAUUUAACGAAUUAAUUAUUACUUUACUUGGAUAUAGAGUAACAAAAUUUAGUCAUACCUUAUAAUUAAAGGAAAAUUUUAAUCACUAAUUAUUAUUGAUUAAUUUAGGCAAGUUUACAUUUUCGGGAUAUUACACCUAAUCUACCAUCUUCGCUAACAAUCAACGAAGACCAACUAAGGUCCUGCACAACCUUAGUUUAUCACAACUCACACUCUUAGUGAGCAUAUCUGCUGGAUUCUUAGCACCCAACACUUUCUCCAGACUCAACUCAUUCUCCUCCACUAAACUCCUGAUGUAGUGAAAGCACAUACGAAUGUGCUUAGUCCUACAUACAUGAGAUUCUUAGCCAAAUGCAAUACACUUUGACUAUCACUAUAAAGUAUCACCUUUUCCUGUUCAAUACCCAUCUCCUCAAGAAAACCGAUAAGCCAUACCAUCUCCUUACUGCCUUAGACAUAGCCACAUACUCAGACUUUGUAGAAGACAAAGAGAUACACUUCUGUAACUUCGACAUCCAACUCACUGUAGUACCUCCUACAGUAGAGACAUAUCCUAACUUGAUUUUGCUUGUAUCGAUAUCUCCACUGAGAUCAGCAUCAACAUAACCCUCAAGCUUUACUCCCUUCUGCCAGAAACAAAGCCCCAUUCUUGAAAUGCCCUUCAAAUACCUUAGUAACCACUUUAUAGUAUCCCAAUGUUUCUCACCUAGAUUAGAAACAAACCUACAAACAACUCCCACUGCAAAAAUAAUGUCUAGACGUGUGCACACCUUGGCAUACAUCAAGCUCCCAAUAGCUGAAGCAUAGGGAACAGUGGCCAUCCGCUCCUUUUCUGCUUAUGUAGUUGAUGAAUGCUCCCUUGUCAAUUUGAGAUCACUAGGAAGCGGUGAAUUUCUAGGUUUAACAUCUCCUACAUUAAACCUCUUCAGCACCUUAAGAAUAUAAUUCUCCCGAGACAACUUCAUCAUACCAGUAGACUUGUCCCUGAAAAUCUUCAUGCCCAAGAUUUGUGUAGAUUCACCCAAAUCCUUCAUCUCAAAUACUAGUGACAGCUUUCCCUUCACACCAUUUAUCACCUCCAUACUUGUACCAGCAAUCAACAUAUCAUCAACAUACAGAUGUAAGUAAACAUAAUCAUUUACAUACCUCUGAAAAAUAACAACAAUGAUCUCUAUCAGCUCUCUUGAACCCACUGCUACACAUGAAAGUGUCAAACUUUAUGUACCACUGUCUAGGAGCCUGCUUCAAUCUGUAUAAGCUCCUCUUGAGCUUGCACACCAAGUUCUCCUUUCCUUGAACUUUAAAGCCAUCUGGUUGCUUCAUGCAGAUCUCCUCAUCCAAAUCACCAUGUAGGAACGCAGUCUUAACAUCCAUCUGUUCUAAGAACAGACUUUCAGCAGGAACAAUAGCUACCAAAAUACGAAUAGUAGUUAACUUCACAACAGGAGCAAAUAUUUCAUUAUAAUCUAUACCCUCUUUUUGUAGGAACCCCUUUACUACCAAUCUCUCCUUAUACCUGACACUUCCAUCAUGCUCUUUCUUCAAUAUGAAGAUCCACUUGUUGCUAAGUGCUCUCAUACUUGCAGGCAAUGCAGACAACUCCCAUGUCUAAUUCUUUUCCAGGGAGUGCAUCUCAUCUUUCAUGGCUAGUUCCCACUUACAUGAAUCAGUCGAAUUUAUUGCUUCCCUGUAUGAUUCUAGUUCACCUGCAUCACUCACUAGCAAAUAAUAAAUAGAAGGUGAAUAUCGAACAGGUGUUUUGGACACCCUUGUGGAUUUUCUCAAGUUAACUUCAGAGACUAUUCUCCCUGUACUAGAACUGGAGCUUCUUGGUUGUAUGACAAUAGCACCCUCUGAAUUACCAGGUUGUGAGAUAUCUGACUCAUCAGAAUCAGACACUGUAGGAGUGUGAACCUCAUUUCUAUGUCGUUCAACCCAUUCUGGAACAAUGACAUUCCUUCCAUCAAUGCCUCGUAUCUCCACAAACUCCUUCUCCUGAACUCCCACUAUCUCAGUAUUCUCAGAUUUAUCACCAUACAUCCUUAUACAACUUAGUCUCAUCAAAUGUGACAUCACAGUGUCUCAAAAUCUUCCUACCUUUAGGUUCCCAACAUCGAUAUCCAUACUUCUUAUAACCAUACCCCCAUAAAAUAACAUUUAACGGCUUUUGGGUCUAAUUGUCACAUUUCUCAGACUGAACAAAUGCAACACAACCAAAUAGUUUUAGAAAAGAAAGAUUUACCUCCUUUCCACUCCAAACCUCCUAUGGCAACUUGAACUCCAAUAGAACUGAUGGUCCUCUGUUGAUCAAAUAAGAUGUUGUACUAACUAAAUCUCCCCAGAACGUCUUAGGUAGCCCUGGAUGCAACCUCAUACUUAUAGCCUUCUUAGUCAAUGUCAUGUUCAUUCUCUCUGCAACACCAUUCUGUCGAGGUUUCCCUGGAACUGUCCUCUUCAGAAUUAUGCCGUUCUGCUCACAAAAUUUUGUAUACUCUGCCAACUCAUACUCACCUCCAUUAUCAGACUUAAUGCACUUAAUCUUCUUUCCAGUCUGAUUCUCGACCUCAUCUUUCCACUUCUUGAAGGUUUCAUAAAGCUCAUAUUUCUUCUUCAUGAAAUAGACCCAUACCUUCCUGCUGUAGUCAUCAAUGAAAGUAACAAAAUACCGUGAGCCUCCAAGGGAUCUGACUGGGGAAGGACCCCAUAAAUCAGUGUGCACUAAUGCUGGCUUCUCAGAUAUAAACUCUUUCUUGGCUUUUGUGAAACUCACCUUUUUCUGCUUGCCAUAAACACAACACUCACAAAAUUUCAUGUCAACUAAUUUCAACUCUGUCAACUUACCACUCGAAACUAAAAUUUUCAUACUCUUCUCACUCAUGUGACCAAGUCUAGUAUGCCAUAACUUGGUCUCAUCCACUUUAGCUGCAGCAAUCAUGUCUGUACACCCUGCAAUAGUGUAUUAAGUUUUGCAUCUUAGUGCCUCUAGCCAAAAUCAUAGAACGUUUGGAAAUCUUCUAUUUUCCCUCAUAGAACACAGUUUCGUAGCCACAUGAGUCCAAUUGACUCACAAAAAUCAGAUUCUUUGCUAGGCCUAGAAUGUACCCAACAUCAUGUAGUUUUAAUAUUCCUCCGUUCGUAGUCCUGACAACCACAUCUCCCUUCCCUAUAAUAUCCAAGGUCUUAUCAUCAGCCAGAUGAACCUUUCCUAACUUCUUAGCCUUGAAGUCAUGAAACCGCUCCCUCAUGGGUGAAGAGUGAAACGAUGUCCCCGACUCUAGGAUCCACGACUCUAUAGAACUAUCAACGCUCAAAAUCAGAGCAUCCUCAACCUCAUUCGAUUCAGAAAAUAUCGAUGAGUUGUCAUUAUCCUCCUAUUUCUCACUAUGGUCAGAUUUUCACCCUUCUUCUUAGGAUGUGGACAAUCCUCUUUGGAUGACCCUUCUCACCACAAUUCCAACAGGUAAAACCAAUCCUACCCUUUGACCACUAGUGGAAAAAUUUGCUUUUGCUACUUAUCAAAUGCUCCGGUUGACUAAUCAACCCGAGCAUUUGCGAAAAAUUUUAAUAAAAAAAUUCACAAAUGCUCGGGUUGAUUAGUUAACCGUAGCAUUUGACAUCAAAUGCUCCAGUUGAUUUAUCAACCCGAGCAUUUGUGAAAAACUAAAAGUAGCAGUGUUUAUUUUCACUCUCCUCAUCAGUCCUCCUUCCCUCUCUAGUGUUUUUACUUUUCCCUCAUUCUGCGUUCUCUCUCCUUCACUCUCCUUCAAACUGCUUCUCUGCCUCUCUCUUCCUUCUUCACUCUCAAAUCCGCUCCUUCGAACGCAUGUCAAGGUAGGUUUUUUUUUGGUUUUUUAAGGAUUUUCUCUUAUUCAAAACUUUAUUUCUCACCUCGAUUCGCCAUUCUAGUAUUAGAUUCCCUCAUGAUAUUUGUGAUUAGGGUUUCAGAAACUUUCUCUUUUAUCUCAUGUUUCUCAAAUUCAUCGCUGAUUGUGACUCGCAGUCGAAUUUUACAAGGAAAAUUGUUGUGGUUUGUGCGUUUUUUCACUAGUAGAAAAAGGACGAUUUGCGUCCCUUCAUUUGCGUCGCACAGAAACGGAAACGACGCACAGUUGGGAUUUGCGUCGCAUGUGUGAAGAUGUGCGACGCAAAUCACAAAAAUAUGCGUCGCACCCUCCUCACAUGCGACGCAAAUUAACAAUGUGCGUCGCACGUGAGGAGAGUGCGACGCAUAUACCGCGCUCGUGUUGAGAAAUAUUUAGACCAAUGUGCGUCGCACCUACGGAGGAUAGGACGCACAUUACUAAUGUGCGUCGCACCUGUAGAGCAUGCGACGCACAUUGGUCUCAAAUACUUAAUGUCUUUUAAAAGGUCUCAAACAGCAGAACCCUAAAUUUCUCUCACCUUCUCUCUCUUCAGCGCCUCUUUCUCUCACACUUUUGUCUCCCUCAAACCCUAAAUUUCUCUCUCACCCUCUCUCUCACCUUCUCUCUUCAGCGCCUCUCUUCAGCGCCUCUUUCUCUCUCAAAUCCGUUCGCCUUCAAGUCUCUCUCAACUCUCUGAAUUCUCUCUCAACUCUCAUAUCAACCGUUCGCCUUCAACGUUCGCCUCACACCGCCUUCGAUUUGAAUCUUCGUAGUAGCAGUAGCCUCACACCGCCGCUUCAAACACCAACGACAUCAGAUUUUUUUAAACUCCUCCGCUUCAAACACCAACAACGAAGAACGAGCACCGAUGAAAAUUGAAAAAACACCUUUCGUUCGUUCGAAGAGCAGCGAAUUUCUCAGAUCUGGUUUUUGGCGAUUUGAAGAAAGAGAUUGAAGAACGAGAUUGAAGAACGAGAUCUGGUUUUUGGCGAAUUUCGUUCGUUCCAUUCGCGUUUUUUUUGUUUUUUUAGAUCUGUCUGUUAGAUUGGUUUUUGGCGAAUUUAGAUCUGUUUUUUUUUAGGUUUAGUUUUUUAAUUUCGUUUUUUUUCUUGUAUGUUAGAUCUGGAUUUUUUUAUUUUUGAUAUUUGUUAGAUUUUUUUCGUUUCUUAAUCGAUGCAAGACAAUUUGUAUGUUAUAUCGUUUAAUUUCGUUUCUGUUACUGCAUUUAAUUUCGUUUAUGUUAUCUCGUUUAAUCGAUGCAAGACAAUUCGUUUCUUCAAUUGCGUUUUCGUUUCUGUUAUUUCUUUACAAUUUGUAUGUCUUGUUUUUUGUCCUCAAAUGCAGUACUAAAGCAUUCAUGCUUUGGUACUGCAUUUUUUUUAUUUUUUACAUGGGUCAUUUGCGUCGCACCGUAUAUACGGUGCGACGCAAAUUGCUAAUAUAUCUGCGUCGUAUGCUGAACGACGCAGAUCAUGUUUGGGCUAUUUGCGUCGAGGCCUUUGGCGUCGCACCCAUGUCCGACGCAAAUGGGCGCCUCAGAUCCGACGCAAAUCGUCGUUUCUGUACUAGUGUUUGUUUUGUCUAUGGUUUGACAAUUUCAUCGGUUUUUUAUUGCGAGAUUUCAUUCGGCUUUGUUCGUAGUUCUAUGAAUAAUCAAGAUGGAUUUUAAUGGAGAUUUGACAUCUCUUGAUGCUGAUCUCUUGAAAUUGCACGAGGUUUCACCUUUGGCUCUCAAACCUAAUCCUUACCUGGCGCAAGAGUGAUUUGAACAGUGGCUUUCGCUUCCUGAAACCAAUUGCCUCGAACUGCAAGAGGACUUUUAUACCUUCACGAAGAUUCAAGAUUGAAGAUUAUCCACCGAGAUCUUAAAAUGAGUAACAUUCUAUUGGACGAAAAUAUGAAUGCAAAAAUAGCAGAUUUUGGAUUGGCCAGACUUGUUGGACGAGAUCAAAUUGAGGCUGAUACUAAUAAGAUUGCAUGAACAUAGCGCUUGCUGGUCGUUCUCAGCAACAGGGGCGAUUGAAGGUAUAAACAAGAUUGUUACAGGCUCUCUUGUCAGCCUUCUGAGCAGGAGUUGAUCGAUUGCGAUAGAGGCUACGAUGAAGGCUGUGAGGGAGGGCUCAUGGACUAUGCUUAUCAGUUUGUUAUAUCUAACCAUGGGAUUGAUACCGAGAACGAUUACCCAUAUGAGGCUAGGCAGAAAUCCUGCAAUAGGAACAAGGUUGUUGCAAUCAAACGACUUGAUCAUAAUGGGCUGCAAGGCAAUAGGGAAUUCCCCGUUGAAGUAUUAAUGCUCAGCCUACUUCACCAUCCAAACCUUGUUAACUUAAUUAGAUACUGUGCUGAUGGAGAUCAAAGGCUUCUUGUGUACGAGUAUAUGCCACUGGGAUCAUUGGAAGACCAUCUAUAUGUAUUGGUAAAGGACAUCCGAUGGUGGACAAGGGUGGGAAGAAAGGCAAAAAUAUGAAGACAUCUAUAGACAAUCCACACUCCAAAAAUUUUUAGUGUUUGUGUUUCUUUGAACCCAUAAUUGUAUUUCUUAUAAUUUGCAAUUGUUGUUUAUUUGUAGUAUUUCUUGUAUUCAGGAACAAAAAUAUUAGAAUUAUAACUUUUUACCUAUAUAUAAUAGAUUAUGUAUUAA